AUGGAACCUGAAUAUUCCCGCGGAAGGAGGGCGACUGUGGUGUCACAACCAAAGUUUGAGGCAAGAUGGCUGGAGGAGGAGCAAUGUGAAGAUGUGGUAAAAAAUGCGUGGAACUUGGCUAUGCUGACAAGUGAUACUACUGUUGCCGAGGCAAUCAGAAGAGUGGGGUAUGAUUUGCACUCGUGGAGCAAGGAGAUAUUGGGGGAUCUGAAAAAUAGGAUUAAAAGAGCAAAAAAGGACCUGAACCGGUGUAGGAAGGGGGCGAUCUCCAAACAGCAGGUGGCUCAGGAGCAACUGUUGCGUUAUAAGUUGGAAAGGCUUCAGGACCAGAAGAAUAUUUACUGGAAGCAAAGGGCGCAUGCUCAUUGGCUGAAAGAUGGGGACCGAAACACGAGCUUCUUUCAUGCUUGUGCGUCGAAUAGGAGAAGGGUGAACCAAAUUAAAAAGCUGCAUACUGAUGAGGGAGGCGUGGUGGAGGGAGAGGAGGAGUUGCGGGAGCUCAUUGCUAGCUAUUAUAAGUCUCUUUUCUCUUCUGUGGCAGGGACAAGGGAGGCUGAACUCCUAUGUAAAGUGUUUCCUGUGGUCACUACAAAGAUGAACGUGUAUCUUUCAAAGCCUUUCACCAUUGAAGAAAUUAGGGAGGCUCUGAAUUCUAUGGGGGACUUGAAAGCACCAGGGCCGGAUGGUAUGCCAGCAAUCUUCUACAAAAGGUUUUGGGGCCUGGUGGGGCCAAAGGUUCAGGAGGCGGUCCUUGGUGUCCUGAACGGGGGUCAUGUGCCCGUCGGCUGGAAUGAGACCAUUGUUGUUCUGAUUCCAAAGGUCCUUAAUCCAUCGCGAAUGAAGGACCUUAGGCCUAUCAGCCUGUGCAAUGUGGUUUUCAAGAUCAUAACAAAGGUGAUUGCCCGUCGCUUGAAGGAGGUGCUGCCAGCGAUUAUAUCCCCAAGUCAAAGUGCCUUCGUGCUGGGAAGAUUGAUAACGGACAACGUGUUGAUCGCUUACGAGACCACUCACUUCAUGCAUCAGCGUAAGGGGGGAAGAGACGGGCUGGCGGCUGUCAAACUGGAUAUGAGCAAGGCAUAUGACCGCGUUGAGUGGUCUUUUUUGGAAAAUAUGAUGCUGAAGAUGGGGUUUUCCCGGGACUAG
rnacentral:rRNA from 1 species